AAUCUACCCAGUAGCGGGGGAUAAGCCAGAGAAAUUUGGUCUAAUACCGCAUACGCCCUUCGGGGGAAAGCAGGGGAUCUUCGGACCUUGCACUAUUGGAUGAGCCUGCGUGAGAUUAGCUUGUUGGUGAGGUAAUGGCUCACCAAGGCGACGAUCUCUAGCUGGUCUGAGAGGAUGAUCAGCCACACUGGAACUGAGACACGGUCCAGACUCCUACGGGAGGCAGCAGUGGGGAAUAUUGCACAAUGGGCGCAAGCCUGAUGCAGCCAUGCCGCGUGUGUGAAGAAGGCCCUAGGGUUGUAAAGCACUUUCAGUAGUGAGGAAAGGUUGUAGGUUAAUACCCUGCAACUGUGACGUUAGCUACAGAAGAAGCACCGGCUAACUCCGUGCCAGCAGCCGCGGUAAUACGGAGGGUGCGAGCGUUAAUCGGAAUUACUGGGCGUAAAGCGCGCGUAGGUGGAUUGGUCAGUCAGAUGUGAAAGCCCAGGGCUCAACCUUGGAACUGCACCUGAUACUGCCAAUCUAGAAUACGGUAGAGGGUAGUGGAAUUUCCUGUGUAGCGGUGAAAUGCGUAGAUAUAGGAAGGAACACCAGUGGCGAAGGCGACUACCUGGACCGAUAUGAC
rnacentral:rRNA from 1 species